CCCCUCUCAGGAUCGCACCUGGAGAACCUCCAGUACUCUACCAGUCUUGGCUACAAGAGGGAGAGUCAAGCAGAUGCCUACCCAUUCCGUUGCUAGCUUGGGCCGUGGCUAGUGAGUGGAAGGUAAUCUGCUACAAGU